rnacentral:rRNA from 1 species
AACGGCGAGUGAAGCGGUAAAAGCUCAAAUUUGAAAUCUGGCUCUUUUAGAGUCCGAAUUGUAAUUUGUAGAAGAUGCUUCGGGUGUGGUUCCGGUCUAAGUUCCUUGGAACAGGACGUCAUAGAGGGUGAGAAUCCCGUAUGUGACUGGAUACCUAUGCUCAUGUGAAGCUCUUUCGACGAGUCGAGUUGUUUGGGAAUGCAGCUCAAAAUGGGAGGUAUAUUUCUUCUAAAGCUAAAUAUUGGCCAGAGACCGAUAGCGCACAAGUAGAGUGAUCGAAAGAUGAAAAGCACUUUGGAAAGAGAGUUAAACAGUACGUGAAAUUGUUGAAAGGGAAGCGCUUGCAAUCAGACUUGCACUUGGUGUUCAUCAGGGUCUCGUACCCUGUGUACUUCAUCAAGUUCAGGCCAGCAUCAGUUUGAGUGGUUAGAUAAAGGCUUAGAGAAUGUGGCCCUCUUCGGGGGGUGUUAUAGCUCUA